UUGGAGGGCAAGUCUGGUGCCAGCAGCCGCGGUAAUUCCAGCUCCAAUAGCGUAUAUUAAAGUUGUUGCAGUUAAAAAGCUCGUAGUUGAAUUUCGGAGUUUGUCGGUCGGUCGGGCUUCACUGUCCGCACUGGCCUGAUGGAUUCCUACCUUCUGAAUAACCAGCAUGCUAUUAAGUUAGUGCGUUGGGGAAGCAGAGCUAUUACCUUGAAAAAAUUAGAGUGCUUAAAGCAGGCUUAUGCUUGAAUAGAUUAGCAUGGAAUAAUAAAAUAGGACGGCAUGGUUCUAUUUUGUUGGUUUCUAGGAUCACCGUAAUGAUUAAUAGGGAUAGUUGGGGGCAUUAGUAUUCAAUUGUCAGAGGUGAAAUUCUUGGAUUUAUUGAAGGCUAACUACUGCGAAAGCAUUUGCCAAGGAUGUUUCCAUUAAUCAAGAACGAAAGUUAGGGGAUCGAAGACGAUCAGAUACCGUCGUAGUCUUAACCAUAAACUAUGCCGACUAGGGAUCGGAUGAUGUUAAUUUUUUAAUGACUCAUUCGGCGCCUUACGGGAAAC
rnacentral:rRNA from 1 species